UACGAGGGGAGCAAGCGUUUGUUCGGAUUUACUGGGCGUAAAGGGCGCGUAGGCGGCGUGACUAGUCACUUGUGAAAUCUCCGGGCUUAACUCGGAACGGUCAAAUGAUACUGUCGUGCUAGAGUACAGAAGGGGCAACUGGAAUUCUCGGUGUAGCGGUGAAAUGCGUAGAUAUCGAGAGGAACACCUGCGGCGAAGGCGGGUUGCUGGGCUGAUACUGACGCUGAUGCGCGAAAGCCAGGGGAGCGAACGGG
rnacentral:rRNA from 1 species